rnacentral:rRNA from 1 species
GCUAAACGCGAAGAACCUUACCUGGCCUUGACAUGUCCGGAAUUCUGCAGAGAUGCGGAAGUGCCUUCGGGAAUCGGAACACAGGUGCUGCAUGGCUGUCGUCAGCUCGUGUCGUGAGAUGUUGGGUUAAGUCCCGCAACGAGCGCAACCCUUGUCCUUAGUUGCCAGCGAGUAAUGUCGGGAACUCUAAGGAGACUGCCGGUGACAAACCGGAGGAAGGUGGGGAUGACGUCAAGUCCUCAUGGCCCUUACGGCCAGGGCUACACACGUACUACAAUGGUCGGUACAGAGGGUUGCCAAACCGCAAGGUGGAGCCAAUCCCAGAAAGCCGAUCCCAGUCCGGAUCGGAGUCUGCAACUCGACUCCGUGAAGUCGGAAUCGCUAGUAAUCGCGGAUCAGCUAUGCCGCGGUGAAUACGUUCCCGGGUCUUGUACACACCG